GAGGAAUAUUGGUCAAUGGACGAGAGUCUGAACCAGCCAAGUAGCGUGAAGGAUGACUGCCCUAUGGGUUGUAAACUUCUUUUAUAUGGGAAUAAAGUGAGCCACGUGUGGCUUUUUGUAUGUACCAUACGAAUAAGGAUCGGCUAACUCCGUGCCAGCAGCCGCGGUAAUACGGAGGAUCCGAGCGUUAUCCGGAUUUAUUGGGUUUAAAGGGAGCGUAGGCGGACUAUUAAGUCAGCUGUGAAAGUUUGCGGCUCAACCGUAAAAUUGCAGUUGAUACUGGUCGUCUUGAGUGCAGUAGAGGUAGGCGGAAUUCGUGGUGUAGCGGUGAAAUGCUUAGAUAUCACGAAGAACUCCGAUUGCGAAGGCAGCUUACUGGACUGUAACUGACGCUGAUGCUCGAAAGUGUGGGUAUCAAACAGGAUUAGAUACCCUGGUAGUCCACACAGUAAACGAUGAAUACUCGCUGUUUGCGAUAUACGGCAAGCGGCCAAGCGAAAGCAUUAAGUAUUCCACCUGGGGAGUACGCCGGCAACGGUGAAACUCAAAGGAAUUGACGGGGGCCCGCACAAGCGGAGGAACAUGUGGUUUAAUUCGAUGAUACGCGAGGAACCUUACCCGGGCUUAAAUUGCAAAUGAAUAUAGUGGAAACAUUAUAGCCGCAAGGCAUUUGUGAAGGUGCUGCAUGGUUGUCGUCAGCUCGUGCCGUGAGGUGUCGGCUUAAGUGCCAUAACGAGCGCAACCCUUAUCUUUAGUUACUAACAGGUUAUGCUGAGGACUCUAGAGAGACUGCCGUCGUAAGAUGUGAGGAAGGUGGGGAUGACGUCAAAUCAGCACGGCCCUUACGUCCGGGGCUACACACGUGUUACAAUGGGGGGUACAGAAGGCAGCUACACAGCGAUGUGAUGCUAAUCCCAAAAGCCUCUCUCAGUUCGGAUUGGAGUCUGCAACCCGACUCCAUGAAGCUGGAUUCGCUAGUAAUCGCGCAUCAGCCACGGCGCGGUGAAUACGUUCCCG
rnacentral:rRNA from 1 species